rnacentral:tRNA from 1 species
GAGAAAGUCAUAAAGGUUAUGGGGUUGACUUGAAAUUAAUCUGAGGGGGUUCAAUUCCUCUCUUUCUUA